rnacentral:rRNA from 1 species
AUUGAACGCUGGCGGCAUGCUUUACACAUGCAAGUCGAACGGUAACAGGCCUUCGGGUGCUGACGAGUGGCGAACGGGUGAGUAAUGCAUCGGAACGUGCCCAGCGGUGGGGGAUAACGCAGCGAAAGCUGUGCUAAUACCGCAUGUGAUCUGAGGAUGAAAGCGGGGGACCAGGCAGCAAUGUUUGGCCUCGCGCCUUUGGAGCGGCCGAUGUCAGAUUAGGUAGGUGGUGGGGUAAAGGCCUACCAAGCCGACGAUCUGUAGCUGGUCUGAGAGGACGACCGGCCACACUGGGACUGAGACACGGCCCAGACUCCUACGGGAGGCAGCAGUGGGGAAUUUUGGACAAUGGGCGCAAGCCUGAUCCAGCAAUGCCGCGUGCGGGAAGAAGGCCUUCGGGUUGUAAACCGCUUUUGUACGGAACGAAAAGGCUCUGGCUAAUACCUGGGGCUGAUGACGGUACCGUAAGAAUAAGCACCGGCUAACUACGUG